rnacentral:pre_miRNA from 1 species
AAAUUCUUGUCUUAUAUUUGUCUAUAUAUGAAUGAAUCUAGUCAUAUUUUAAUAUUUAGAUACACCCAUUUCUAAAUAAAUCUAGGACAAGAAUUUUGGGACGGAGGAAGUACUUC